rnacentral:rRNA from 1 species
UACGAAGGGUGCUAGCGUUGUUCGGAAUUACUGGGCGUAAAGCGCGCGUAGGCGGUUCAACAAGUCAGAGGUGAAAGCCCUGGGCUCAACCCAGGAAUUGCCUUUGAAACUGUUGGACUAGAGUGUCGGAGGGGAUAGCGGAAUUGCUAAUGUAGAGGUGAAAUUCGUAGAUAUUAGCAGGAACACCGGUGGCGAAGGCGGCUAUCUGGACGACAACUGACGCUGAGGCGCGAAAGCACGGGGAUCAAACAGG